rnacentral:rRNA from 1 species
UACGAAGGGGGCUAGCGUUGCUCGGAAUCACUGGGCGUAAAGCGUGCGCAGGCGGUCUGUUAAGACCGAUGUGAAAUCCCCGGGCUUAACCUGGGAACUGCAUUGGUGACUGGCAGGCUUUGAGUGUGGCAGAGGGAGGUAGAAUUCCACGUGUAGCAGUGAAAUGCGUAGAGAUGUGGAGGAACACCGAUGGCGAAGGCAGCCUCCUGGGCCAACACUGACGCUCAUGCACGAAAGCGUGGGGAGCAAACAGG